rnacentral:rRNA from 1 species
UGGGGAAUAUUGCGCAAUGGACGAAAGUCUGACGCAGCGACGCCGCGUGUGGGAUGACGGCCUUCGGGUUGUAAACCACUGUCGCGAGGGACGAAGCUCUGACGGUACCUCGAAAGGAAGCACCGGCUAACUCUGUGCCAGCAGCCGCGGUAAUACAGAGGGUGCAAGCGUUGUCCGGAAUUACUGGGCGUAAAGGGCGCGUAGGCGGCCUGAUAAGUAGGGGGUGAAAUCUCGUGGCUCAACCACGAAACUGCCUUCUAAACUGUCAGGCUUGAGCACGGUAGAGGCAGAUGGAAUUCCCGGUGUAGCGGUGGAAUGCGUAGAGAUCGGGAAGAACACCAGUGGCGAAGGCGGUCUGCUGGGCCGUUGCUGACGCUGAUGCGCGACAGCGUGGGGAGCAAACAGGAUUAGAUACCCCCGUAGUCC